GACGAACGCUGGCGGCGUGCUUAACACGUGCAAGUCGAACGGAAAGACCCUGCUUUUGUGGGGUGCUCGAGUGGCGAACGGGUGAGUAACACGUGAGUAACCUGCCCUUGACUUUGGGAUAACUUCAGGAAACUGGGGCUAAUACCGGAUAGGAGCUCCUGCUGCAUGGUGGGGGUUGGAAAGUUUCGGCGGUUGGGGAUGGACUCGCGGCUUAUCAGCUUGUUGGUGGGGUAGUGGCUUACCAAGGCUUUGACGGGUAGCCGGCCUGAGAGGGUGACCGGCCACAUUGGGACUGAGAUACGGCCCAGACUCCUACGGGAGGCAGCAGUGGGGAAUAUUGCACAAUGGGCGGAAGCCUGAUGCAGCAACGCCGCGUGCGGGAUGACGGCCUUCGGGUUGUAAACCGCUUUCGCCUGUGACGAAGCGUGAGUGACGGUAAUGGGUAAAGAAGCACCGGCUAACUACGUG
rnacentral:rRNA from 1 species